GUGACUGGUCACACAAAUUUAAAACACAUAGUUUGAUACAAUUUAAUUCAUUUUUAAACCCCCAACUUCUUCUCCUUAGAUACACUUCACAUAUAUUCAUAAAACAUUUCCUUUUCAUCUUCCUCGCAAAGAUUUUAGAAAAACUUGUGAAAAACUUGUUUUUGGCUAUAGAUUUAUCACCGUUAUGCAGAGGUGGAGGUGGUGUUGAAGCGGUGGUAGUGACGGAAGCGGUAGCCGGUGUAAAGGUUAUGCGGUGUAAAGGUUAUGCGACAGAGUAAAAGUUGUAGUGUUGUAGAAGCAUUACAAUAAAUAAAGUACAGGCUGAGAAGACUACGGUUAAGGAGAAAAAACAGCCCGAAGAUGUAGAAUUAGAUGCACCAAGGAAUGUGAACGAGAAAUGUAGUUAGAAAUUUCAGAAUUAAACAAAAAUUGGAAGUCACUAAACCGUUGUCAAAAGCUUGAAACACUUGCUACAGAAAUUAAAUCUAAGCUAGAGAAGAAGAUGCAGGAUCUUGAGAAUCUACUCGCUGAUUCAAGGAAGAAGGUAAAAGAACAUGAAAAGUCAAGAAAUACAUCUCUAAGUUGUGCACAAUGAGUGGAUCAUGUUUAGGCUAAAAUGGGUAAUAAUUUUUGUCAAAACUAGAAUGAAAUAACCUAAAUCUUUAGAUCUUAAGUAUUGGUAUGUAUUAACAAAGAAAUUAAAUAACUUUCACCAUUUCACUUAUUCCCUGUUUAGCAAACUUUUAUUUGACCCAUUCAACCUAAGUAUACAGUCUUAAUCAUCGUUCAUAACUAAUUGAACAAAAAUUGCCACCUCUAAGUCAUAUGGUUAUCUAAGAAAUAAUACACAACAUGUAUAAGAAACCAAUGGGGUUAAAGAAAGCUAGAGUUAAGAGAUAUUUUUUUUGAGAAAUAGUUCUUGAUUUUAAAUCACGAACUUGCUCGUUAUAUAUCUCAACCAUUUGCACACCAAGUUCAUACUUAAAAGAGCUUCUUCGGAUUUGGGAGAGAAGAAAUAGAUUGUUAAACGCCCGAUAGUUGAUCCCCCAGCCCUCUGGAGAUGAUACAUUGGGACCAGUCUAAUAAAAACACAUAAAAUAAGUAUACGAUGAAAUCAACAUUCUAAUGUUUGAAUAUACUUGUGUGAACCACAAUGCUUACCAUAGUAAGUCUUACCAGACGUCGUUGGACAAUAUGCAAAUAUGCAUACAUUAUAGUGGUUGAGUGUCAACAAACAUGUCCUCUACAACCACAAUAUGUUAAAAUAAAUGAAUAAUACGGAGUAAAUCUUAACAAAAGUUUAUACAUAGCAACACAAAAAUGAGGAUAGAGGAAACACCUUGUGUUGCUGUAGGGCUAAACACUUUAUUGAAUUUGAAAACUUGAACUUUAAUUUUUUUUUUACUAUUUUCGAGGGGUUUGUAACAACCAAUUUACCAUUAUCAUCAAUAUCAACAAUGUAUACAUAUUUGCAUAUGGUCUAACGGGUUCAUGUAAAACUUACACAAUGGUAAGCAUUGUGGUUCGCACAAGUAUAUUCAAAUAUAGAUUGUUGAUUUGAGUGUGUACUUAUGUGUUUUUAUUAGACUGGUCUCUAUCUUGUCCAGAGGACUUGGGGGGUCAACUAUCGGGCAUUAAAUGAUCUAUUUCUUCUCUCCCAAAUCAGGAUGAGCUCUUUUAAGUAUAAAAUUGGUGUGCAGGUGGUUUGAUCUAUAACGAGCAAGUUAAUAAUUUAUUAUCAAGCAAUAGUACUCAAAAAAAGAUAUCCUUUAA